AUUCAGUUAUCUCUCCUUUCCACUGACAGUCAAUUCAUCCCUCUUUUUUUUUUUUCUUCCCAGCAACUGACAAGCUAUCUACUGACUUAGACCUGGCCUCCUAAUCCCCAGCAUCCCCUCUACUGCAAGCUUUGUGUUUUUAAAGGAGAUACCUUUGAAAUGCUAGCAGUGACUUCAGCAGCCUGGUGAUGCUCCCAAGUCAUAAAAAAGAACUUCAAUUUCCCUGCCAAGGAACUGAAUGGUGAAGAUUUGCCACACCAUCUUUGAAAGCUAGAUUUCUUCUGUUCAAGGAAAACUAUAUGAUUAUCCAUUGGCACAGUUUGUAUAGACAGCUCCAUCUGCUGGUCACUGAAUAAAGUUAAUUUUCAAAUACCGUAUUUAUAUUUACUACGACCUGAAGAAAUACAUUAGGAUGCUUCUCAUAUAUCUUUGAAGAGUAAGUAUCAGAAGUCAAGUUAAUUUACCUGCAAAGAAAAGU
rnacentral:lncRNA from 1 species